AUUGAACGCUGGCGGCAGGCCUAACACAUGCAAGUCGAGCGAGGGGCGGGCGGGUGAGUAAUGUCUGGAAAUUGCCCAGUCGAGGGGGAUAACAGUUGGACACGACUGCUAACACCGCAUACGCUUUGAUUGCCCAGGUGGGUUUCUCUAGUUGGUGAGGUAAGGGCUCACCAAGGCGACGACCCCUAGCUGGUCUGAGUGGAUGAUCAGCCACACUGGAACUGAGACACGGUCCAGACUCCUACGGGAGGCAGCAGUGGGGAAUAUUGCACAAUGGGGGAAACCCUGAUGCAGCCAUGCCGCGUGUGUGAAGAAGGCCUUCGGGUUGUAAAGCACUUUCAGCGAGGAGGCGUUACCCGCAGAAGAAGCACCGGCUAACUCCGUGCCAGCAGCCGCGGUAAUUC
rnacentral:rRNA from 1 species